GACGAAGGAUCCAAGCGUUAUCCGGAUUCAUUGGGUUUAAAGGGAGCGUAGGCGGACUUAUAAGUCAGUGGUGAAAGCCGAUAGCUUAACUAUCGAAUUGCCAUUGAUACUGUAGGUCUAGAGUACAGAUGAUGUUGGCGGAAUAUGACAUGUAGCGGUGAAAUGCAUAGAUAUGUCAUAGAACACCAAUUGCGAAGGCAGUUGACUACGCCAGUAUUGACGCUGAGGCACGAAAGCGUGGGGAUCAAACAGG
rnacentral:rRNA from 1 species